rnacentral:rRNA from 1 species
GUGAGGAAUAUUGCGCAAUGGAGGCAACUCUGACGCAGCCAUGCCGCGUGCAGGAAGAAGGCGCUACGCGUUGUAAACUGCUUUUAACCGGGAAGAAACCCCAGGACGUGUCCUGGGUUGACGGUACCGGAGGAAUAAGCACCGGCUAACUUCGUGCCAGCAGCCGCGGUAAUACGAAGGGUGCAAGCGUUAUCCGGAUUCAUUGGGUUGAAAGGGUGCGUAGGCGGAGCGUUAAGUCAGUGGUGAAAUCCUGCAGCUUAACUGUAGACUUGCCAUUGAUACUGGCGCUCUUGAGUGCGCUUGAAGUGGGCGGAAUGUGCCGUGUAGCGGUGAAAUGCUUAGAGAUGGCACAGAACACCAAUUGCGAAGGCAGCUCACUAAGGCGAUACUGACGCUGAGGCACGAAAGCGUGGGGAUCGAACAGGAUUAGAUACCCUAGUAGUAC